GAUGAACGCUAGCGGGAGGCCUAACACAUGCAAGCCGAGCGGUAUUGUUUCUUCGGAAAUGAGAGAGCGGCGUACGGGUGCGGAACACGUGUGCAACCUGCCUUUAUCUGGGGGAUAGCCUUUCGAAAGGAAGAUUAAUACUCCAUAAUAUAUUGAUUGGCAUCAAUUAAUAUUGAAAGCUCCGGCGGAUAGAGAUGGGCACGCGCAAGAUUAGCUAGUUGGUGAGGUAACGGCUCACCAAGGCGAUGAUCUUUAGGGGGCCUGAGAGGGUGAUUCCCCACACUGGUACUGGGACACGGACCAGACUCCUACGGGAGGCAGCAGUGAGGAAUAUUGGUCAAUGGGUGCAAGCCUGGACCAGCCAUCCCGCGUGAGGGACGACUGCCCUAUGGGUUGUAAACUUCUUUUGUAUAGGGAUAAACCUACCCUCGUGAGGGUAGCUGAAGGUACUAUACGAAUAAGCACCGGCUAACUCCGUGCCAGCCGCCGCAGUAAGAC
rnacentral:rRNA from 1 species